rnacentral:tRNA from 1 species
AAUAAGGUGUCAGAGAAACGAGUUACUUUGAUAGAGUAAAACAUGUAAGUCAAGCUUACCCUUAUU